CUAAGAAUAUUCCGCAAUGGACGGAAGUCUGACGGAGCGACGCCGCGUGGAUGACGAAGGCCGAAAGGUUGUAAAGUUCUUUUGCUGGGGAAGAAUAACCGCAGGAGGGAAUGCCUGUGGGAUGACAAGAACCGGCGAAUAAGCCCCGGCCAACUACGUGCCAGCAGCCGCGGUAACACGUAGGGGGCGAGCGUUGUUCGGAAUUACUGGGCGUAAAGGGCAUGUAGGCGGCUUGGAAAGCCUGGCGUGAAAGUCUGCAGCUUAACUGCAGGGGUGCGCUGGGAACUGCUGAGCUUGAGUGACGGAGAGGGAGCUGGAAUUCCUGGUGUAGGGGUGAAAUCUGUAGAUAUCAGGAAGAACACCGAUGGCGAAGGCAAGCUCCUGGCCGAUGACUGACGCUGAGGUGCGAAAGUGUGGGGAUCAAACAGGAUUAGAUACCCUGGUAGUCCACACAGUCAACGAUGUGCACUAGGUGCUGGGGCGGUAGCUUCGGUGCCGGAGCGAACGUGGUAAGUGCACCGCCUGGGGAGUAUGCUCGCAAGGGUGAAACUUAAAGGAAUUGACGGGGUCAUAGCUGUUUCCU
rnacentral:rRNA from 1 species